rnacentral:rRNA from 1 species
AAUCAACGCUGGCGGCGUGCCUAACACAUGCAAGUCGAGCGAGAAAAGGGGGGCAACUCCCUGAGUAAAGCGGCGCACGGGUAAGUAACACGUGGGUAAUCUGCCCUGGAGUGGGGAAUAACACCGGGAAACCGGUGCUAAUACCGCAUACGAUAGCGAGGUCUUCGGACUUUGUUAUGAAAGGAGCAAUUCGCUCCAGGAGGAGCCCGCGGCUGAUUAGCUAGUUGGUGAGGUAACGGCUCACCAAGGCUACGAUCAGGAUCCGGUCUGAGCGGACGGUCGGACACACUGGAACUGAGACACGGUCCAGACUCCUACGGGGGGCAGCGGUGGGGAAUUUUUGGCAAUGGGGGCAACCCUGACCAAGCAACGCCGCGUGGGUGAUGAAGUCUCUUGGGACGUAAAACCCUUUCGACAGGGACGAAAGCCGCAAGGUUUGACGGUACCUGUAGAAGAAGCCCCGGCUAACUCCGUGCCAGCAGCCGCGGUAAAAC